GAGAGCGCUCACAUCACAUUCUAGGCUAUUCCGCAUUCUGUUCCCCCACUUUCGAUCGUCCACAGCCACCGGCUCACCUCUACGCCUCCGUGACUGCUGGAAAAGUUGUAUAACGAACACGUACGCGUGUACCUGACACGGAACUCACAAGUCCCGUAUACGACAGGCAUAUACCUCUGACACGAGACUCACCUGUGUGCAACAACGGCACGCAGUCCCGGACAAAUGACGACUACACGCGUGCAUAUUUGAAAGAGAAAGAGAGAGAGAGAGAGAGAGAGAGACACAAAAUCGACUAACACUCACCCCCCUUUCAAAUAAAAAUAUUCGAAAUCGAAUGUUUUCCUCUAUAUCGAAAUAAAAUGUGAAUUAUAUUUUGUGAGA